GAAUAUUGCACAAUGGGCGAAAGCCUGAUGCAGCAACGCCGCGUGAGCGAUGAAGGCCUUCGGGUCGUAAAGCUCUGUCCUAAGGGAAGAAUAAAUGACGGUACCUUAGGAGGAAGCCCCGGCUAACUACGUGCCAGCAGCCGCGGUAAUACGUAGGGGGCAAGCGUUAUCCGGAAUUAUUGGGCGUAAAGAGUGCGUAGGUGGAUUUACAAGCCUUUGGUGAAAGGCUACGGCUUAACCGUAGUAAGCCUUAGGAACUGUAAAUCUUGAGUGCAGGAGAGGAAAGCGGAAUUCCUAGUGUAGCGGUGAAAUGCGUAGAUAUUAGGAGGAACACCAGUGGCGAAGGCGGCUUUCUGGACUGUAACUGACACUGAGGCACGAAAGCGUGGGGAGCAAACAG
rnacentral:rRNA from 1 species